rnacentral:tRNA from 1 species
GGGGAUGUAGUUCAGUGGUAGAGCAUGUGCUUAGCAUUCAUGAGGGUCUGGAUUCAAUCCCCAGCAUCCA